rnacentral:misc_RNA from 1 species
GAUGAAGAUCGCAGCGAAAUGCGAUACGUAAUGUGAAUUGCAGAAUUCAGUGAAUCAUCGAAUCUUUGAACGCACAUUGCGCCUGCCAGCACUCUGGCAGGCAUGCCUGUUCGAGCGUCAUUUCAACCAUCAAGCCCUAGGCUUGCGUUGGAGCCCUGCGGCUGCCGCAGGCCCCUAAAAGCAGUGGCGGGCUCGCUAUCACACCGAGUGCAGUAGAUUACUCUUCGCUCAGGGCGUGUGGCGGGUUCCAGCCGUGAAACCCCCUACUUCUCAAGGUUGACCUCGGAUCAGGUAGGAAUACCCGCUGAACUUAAGCAUAUCAAUAGCGGAGGA